UGGAUCCAGACCUUGAUCCUGGCUCAGGAUGAACGCUAGCUACAGGCUUAACACAUGCAAGUCGAGGGGAAACGACAUCGAAAGCUUGCUUUUGAUGGGCGUCGACCGGCGCACGGGUGAGUAACGCGUAUCCAACCUGCCCACCACUUGGGGAUAACCUUGCGAAAGUAAGACUAAUGCCCAAUGAUAUCUCUAGAAGACAUCUGAAAGAGAUUAAAGAUUUAUCGGUGAUGGAUGGGGAUGCGUCUGAUUAGCUUGUUGGCGGGGUAACGGCCCACCAAGGCUACGAUCAGUAGGGGUUCUGAGAGGAAGGUCCCCCACAUUGGAACUGAGACACGGUCCAAACUCCUACGGGAGGCAGCAGUGAGGAAUAUUGGUCAAUGGACGAGAGUCUGAACCAGCCAAGUAGCGUGCAGGAUGACGGCCCUAUGGGUUGUAAACUGCUUUUAUAAGGGAAUAAAGUGAGUCUCGUGAGACUUUUUGCAUGUACCUUAUGAAUAAGGACCGGCUAAUUCCGUGCCAGCAGCCGCGGUAAUACGGAAGGUCCGGGCGUUAUCCGGAUUUAUUGGGUUUAAAGGGAGCGUAGGCCGGAGAUUAAGCGUGUUGUGAAAUGUAGACGCUCAACGUCUGCACUGCAGCGCGAACUGGUUCCCUUGAGUACGCACAAAGUGGGCGGAAUUCGUGGUGUAGCGGUGAAAUGCUUAGAUAUCAUGAAGAACUCCGAUUGCGAAGGCAGCUCACUGGAGCGCAACUGACGCUGAAGCUCGAAAGUGCGGGUAUCGAACAGGAUUAGAUACCCUGGUAGUCCGCACGGUAAACGAUGGAUGCCCGCUGUUGGUCUGAAUAGGUCAGCGGCCAAGCGAAAGCAUUAAGCAUCCCACCUGGGGAGUACGCCGGCAACGGUGCAACUCAAAGGAAUUGACGGA
rnacentral:rRNA from 1 species